CCGUGAAUACGUUCCCGGGCCUUGUACACACCGCCCGUCACAUCACGAAAGUGGAUUGUACUAGAAGUUCCCCGUUAAAGGACCCAAGGUAUGAUUCAUGAUUGGGGUG
rnacentral:rRNA from 1 species